rnacentral:rRNA from 1 species
UACGGGGGGGGCAAGCGUUGUUCGGAAUUACUGGGCGUAAAGGGCUCGUAGGCGGCCAACUAAGUCAUACGUGAAAUCCCUCGGCUUAACCGGGGAACUGCGUCUGAUACUGGAUGGCUUGAGAUUGGGAGAGGGAUGCGGAAUUCCAGGUGUAGCGGUGAAAUGCGUAGAUAUCUGGAGGAACACCGGUGGCGAAGGCGGCAUCCUGGACCAAUUCUGACACUGAGGAGCGAAAGCCAGGGGAGCAAACGGG